rnacentral:tRNA from 1 species
GCUAGUGUGGUGGAAGGGUAGACACGUUUGAUUUAGGAUCAGGUGCCAUUGAAGGCGUGUAGGUUCGAGUCCUGUCACUAGUA